rnacentral:lncRNA from 1 species
GUUGGGAUUUCUGUUAUGAUUUGAUUAUUAAUAGAUGGCAUGGAAACGAUGAACAAUUAUCGAAUUUACCCAAAAAAAGUCUAACUCCUUUCCUCCGGCUUCUCCGGAGAUUCUACCUUCUUUUCCAAACCCCUAAUUCAAUCCGAACUCUGUCCAGUGACCGACAUCCGCCGACAACUCCAAGGUGGCUGUUACAUAUCCCAUGAACAUAUUUUAAGAGAAUGACAGAAUUUGAAAAUAACUGAUGUGGAAUAAUAAGAAAUUUAUAGUUGAAAAUUAAUAUGAAAGAAAUUAUAUAUAUAUAUAGAACUUGCAUGGUAUAUAGUAAAUUGAUUUAAAUAAACAUUAAACUUACAUAUUUUAAGUGAAUGAUAGAGGAUGAAAACGCAUAAGAUAAAAUGAUAAGAAAUUUAUACCAAUAUAUCAAUAAAAUAUAUCUGAAAUAUAUCAAUAAAAAAAAUUAAUCAUUUUACAUAUAUAAACAAUUUAAUUAGGGGUGAGAACGUCACGGGCAGGGCGACCCCGCCCCGUUCUGAAAAAAUGUUGCGCGGAACGGGUCGGUUUAGGUACCCAACUUCCUUGUCUCAAGACCCACCCCUGCCCCGACGGUCGAGGCGCGGAACGGGGCAGAUCCGGCGCGACUCGCUUGGAAUUAUAAAAUUAAAAAAAUAUAAGUUAAAAAAAUAUAAAUUAAAAAAAAAUUAAAAAAUUAAAACUAAAAUUAAAAAUGACUAAACUUUUACCCUAAUUUUUAAAAGACAUAAGAUUUAAUAACGAAGACUUAAGCUUAACAAUCUUAUAUCUAAUAUAAUAUAAUUUAUUAAAAAUAAAUAUAUAUUUUUUUUUAUAACCGGGGCGACUCGUCCGGGUUUUGCCCUGCCCCGAGACCCGUCUCGGAAUAUGAUCGGGGCAACAGGGCACGUGGCAAAAAAUUAAAAACGGGGCAGAAUAUAUAUCUGCCCCACCCCCUCAUGUUCUCACCCUUAAAUUUAAUGGUACAUAGUAAAUAUAUCCUACAUGUCAGUGAGUGAAAACAUAGAGGUAAAAUUAGGGGUGAGAAUGGGGCGAGUCAGGCUCAUUGACCCCUUGCCCUGGACCCGACGAUCGGAUUACUUUCAUUCUUUCUCGUUCUGGAAAUGGUACAACAUUCGGGCUUCACCUUUGUAAGUCAACGCAAAUACUCGGUGGAUUUAAUUUGUUAAAAAGAUUUGGCAUGAAUUGAUUGCUCGAUCGGGCACGCACAUCUAUUUCUGAUCCCAGCUGCUAUAGAAGCCUCGUUGGUGCCUUUCAAUACUUAACUCUAUCCCACCUUGAUAUCGCUUUUGCCGUGAACCAGGUAUGUCAAUUUAUGCAAGAUCUACCUGACGUUCGUCUGAAAACAUCAAAGCGUAUCCUCCUCUACAUCAGAGGAACUCUUUUUCUUGGUCUCCGUUUUCGUCCGUCGAUGGAUACUGAAAGAAUCCCAAGAAAUCGGAUUCCGGUGAUCACCGGAGAGAUAGAUAAGUGGAAGGAAGAAGAAGGAUUGACCUUGGUGUUAAGACUUUUAUAUUGAAAAUAUAAAAAAUGAAAGGUAAAGUAAAUUUUACAUCUAUAAGUACAUAAAUACUAUGUCAUGGGUUAUUUAUUGAAUAACCCCUAACUAUGUCUAGUAUAACCUAUUAGAUACCACCAUCACAACGUGUAUAACCUAUCGAAGAAGCAAGUGACGGUCUCCUGCUCAUUUGCAGAAGCGGAUAUUGCAUACUCCACGCUGAAUAUUAAUAAACUUAUAGUCACAAAGCAAAUAUCAUUUUAUUGAAGAAUAAAUGAGUAAGGGUUAAGAGACAGUUUGUUUGCUAUAAUUUUCAUGGAGUCCUAAAUCAUGAGAGAUGGUAGGAAGAAUAGAUAGAUUUAACCCAAAAAAAUCAUUUCAUAAACAUAAAAGAUAUAUAAAAACAGAUCAGAAAUUCAACUUACAUCGCAGAGUUAAAACAUGGUGUGUUUACUGAAUCCCAGAGAGCAAAUAAAAUAUUUACUAGCAUAGAAGCCAGAAGAAACAAAUAUUUACUAGAUAGGUUGAUGGUGGUGAACUGGUAUGUUUUGAAGAGAAAUGAUUGGAUUUUGUUUAAGAAAACAUGUGAACAAACUUACAAACAGUAGCUUCCAGACCGAAUAUCAUAGCACUUGACAGAAAAGAAGAGGAAGAAGAGAGCAGCUAUGGGUUUCUGAAUAUUAUCAUUCACUCGUUAAUUA